rnacentral:tRNA from 3 species
UUCUGUAUAGCAUAAUGGUAGUGCAGCAGUCUUUUAAGCUGUCAGGUCUGGGUUCGACUCUCAGUACAGACA